UACAGAGGGGGCAAGCGUUGUUCGGAAUUACUGGGCGUAAAGGGCGCGUAGGCGGCCUCUUAAGUCGAACGUGAAAUCCCCGGGCUCAACCCGGGAACUGCGUCCGAUACUGGGAGGCUUGAAUCCGGGAGAGGGAUGUGGAAUUCCAGGUGUAGCGGUGAAAUGCGUAGAUAUCUGGAGGAAUACCGGUGGCGAAGGCGGCAUCCUGGACCAUAACUGACGCUGAGGCGCGAAAGCUAGGGGAGCAAACGGG
rnacentral:rRNA from 1 species